CUGGGGUCACACAUUCAUGAUUUUUACUGCCGUCUUUGACAGGACCUUUCCCGAUUAAAAUAUGUCAAAAGUCUGAUCAAGAUCCUGUGAAUCGUGGAUGGAAAUUCAAAUUUUUAAUUAAAAUUUGUAAAACAAAUAAUUUAAUCACGACAACAAUCAGAUAUUGUUCAGGAAGCGUCGAUAUUCAACCGUUUCCAAGCGAAUUUAUCCCGAGAAUCCCGUUAUCAAUCCGCU
rnacentral:lncRNA from 1 species